rnacentral:rRNA from 1 species
AGCACGAGUUAUGUCGUGUUAUCGACAAGUGAAUUCAUAGCUUGUCAGAAGGCAGACCCGGAGAACUGAAACAUCUUAGUACCCGGAGGAAGAGAAAGAAAAAUCGAUUCCCUGAGUAGCGGCGAGCGAAACGGGAAGAGCCCAAACCAAUAAGCUUGCUUAUUGGGGUUGUAGGACACUCUAUACGGAGUUACAAAGGAAUAUAUUAGACGAAUCAUCUGGAAAGUUGAAUCAAAGAAGGUAAUAAUCCUGUAGUUGAAAAUAUAUUCUCUCUUGAGUGGAUCCUGAGUACGACGGAGCACGUGAAAUUCCGUCGGAAUCUGGGAGGACCAUCUCCUAAGGCUAAAUACUCUCUAGUGACCGAUAGUGAACCAGUACCGUGAGGGAAAGGUGAAAAGUACCCCGGAAGGGGAGUGAAAGAGAACUUGAAACCGUGUGCUUACAAGUAGUCAGAGCCCGUUAAUGGGUGAUGGCGUGCCUUUUGUAGAAUGAACCGGCGAGUUACGAUCUGAUGCAAGGUUAAGCAGGAGAUGUGGAGCCGUAGCGAAAGCGAGUCUGAAUAGGGCGUUGAGUAUUUGGUCGUAGACCCGAAACCAGGUGAUCUACCCAUGGUCAGGUUGAAGUUCAGGUAACACUGAAUGGAGGACCGAACCGACUUACGUUGAAAAGUGAGCGGAUGAACUGUGGGUAGCGGAGAAAUUCCAAUCGAACUUGGAGAUAGCUGGUUCUCUCCGAAAUAGCUUUAGGGCUAGCCUCAAGUGAUGAUUAUUGGAGGUAGAGCACUGUUUGGACGAGGGGCCCCUCUCGGGUUACCGAAUUCAGACAAACUCCGAAUGCCAAUUAAUUUAACUUGGGAGUCAGAACAUGGGUGAUAAGGUCCGUGUUCGAAAGGGAAACAGCCCAGACCACCAGCUAAGGUCCCAAAAUAUAUGUUAAGUGGAAAAGGAUGUGGCGUUGCCCAGACAACUAGGAUGUUGGCUUAGAAGCAGCCAUCAUUUAAAGAGUGCGUAAUAGCUCACUAGUCGAGUGACACUGCGCCGAAAAUGUACCGGGGCUAAACAUAUUACCGAAGCUGUGGAUUGUCCGUAGGACAAUGGUAGGAGAGCGUUCUAAGGGCGUUGAAGCAUGAUCGCAAGGACAUGUGGAGCGCUUAGAAGUGAGAAUGCCGGUGUGAGUAGCGAAAGACGGGUGAGAAUCCCGUCCACCGAUUGACUAAGGUUUCCAGAGGAAGGCUCGUCCGCUCUGGGUUAGUCGGGUCCUAAGCUGAGGCCGACAGGCGUAGGCGAUGGAUAACAGGUUGAUAUUCCUGUACCACCUAGCAUCGUUUUAAUCGAUGGGGGGACGCAGUAGGAUAGGCGAAGCGUACGAUUGGAUUGUACGUCUAAGCAGUGAGAUUGAGUGUUAGGCAAAUCCGGCACUCUUAAGAUUGAGCUGUGAUGGGGAGAGGAAAUUGUUUCCUCGAGUCGUUGAUUUCACACUGCCGAGAAAAGCCUCUAGAUAGAUAAUAGGUGCCCGUACCGCAAACCGACACAGGUAGUCAAGAUGAGAAUUCUAAGGUGAGCGAGCGAACUCUCGUUAAGGAACUCGGCAAAAUGACCCCGUAACUUCGGGAGAAGGGGUGCUCUUUAGGGUGCAAGCCCAGAAG